rnacentral:rRNA from 1 species
CCUACGGGUGGCAGCAGUGAGGAAUAUUGGUCAAUGGGCGGGAGCCUGAACCAGCCAAGCCGCGUGAGGGACGACGGUCCUUUGGAUUGUAAACCCCUUUGUUCGGGGAACAAAGUCGCCCACGGUUGGGCGGAUGAGUUUACCCGAAGAAAAGGCACCGGCUACCUCCGUGCCACCAGCCGCGGUAAUCCGGGGGAUGCGAGCGUUAUCGGGAUUUAUUGGGUUUAAAGGGUGCGUAGGCGGACAGUAAAGUCAGCGGUAAAAAUGCGGUGCUCAACGGCGUACAGCCGUUGAAACUGGCAGUCUUGAGUGGGCGAGAAGUAUGCGGAAUGCGUGGUGUAGCGGUGAAAUGCAUAGAUAUCACGCAGAACUCCGAUUGCGAAGGCAGCAUACCGGCGCCCGACUGACGCUGAGGCACGAAAGCGUGGGUAUCGAACAGGAUUAGAUACCCCGGUAGUC